UUAAAGUUUUAUUUUAGCUUAAAUUAUGAGUUUAUAUUUAACUUAUAUGUAAAUUUUAGUGAUUAUUGUAAAUAUUUUAAAUAAAUAUUACUAAAUUAAUUAUUCGAAGUAAAAUAUUUUAAUUUAUUAAAGGAAUUUAGAGUUAGAAAUUUAUUUUAGUAUAAACAAAAUUUGUGCCAGCAGUUGCGGUUACACAAAUUAUACAAUUUUUAAUUUUUGAUAAGUAAUUAAAUUGAUUAUGAAUUAAAAUAAUAUUUAAUUUAUUAAGUGAAAUUUUAAAUUAAAUAAAAUUUAUUUUUUAAGUUUUGAAGUUAUUAAAUUUUAGUUAAAACUAGGAUUAGAUACCCUACUAUAAGAAUGUAAAUGAUUUUAUUAAAUUAUUAAUAGUUAUUGUCUUUAAAGUUAAAAAAUUUGGCGGUACUUUAGUCUAUUUAGAGGAACCUGUUUAUUAAUUGAUGAUCCACGAUUAGAACGACUAAUUUUAGAAAUUUGUAUAUCAUCGUAGUUGAAUAUUUUUUAAAAAUUUAAAUAUUCAAAAAUUAUUUAAUAAAAUAAAUCAGAUCAAGAUGCAGUUUAUAAAUUAGGAUGGAAUGGGUUACAAUAAUUUAAAUUUUGGAUUUAAUAUUUUAAUAUAUUAAUGAAAUUGGAUUUAAUAGUAAUUUUAUUUAUAUUAAUUAAAUGAUUAUAGCUCUGGAGUAUGCACAUAUCGCCCGUCGCUCUCAUUUAAAGUGAGAUAAGUCGUAACAUAGUAAAUGUACUGGAAAGUGUAUUUAGUUUU
rnacentral:ncRNA from 1 species